UUGUUAUAUUUUUUGAAACAAGGAUUUUGAUUGUAUUUCGUUGAAUGGAUCACAGCUGUGGAGAAAAGGAUGUGGUGCUGAAUGAUCAAUUUUCUAUUACCAUCAUUUGUUAAACUGUUUCCAAAUGUUAUGGAUCUCUAAAGUACUGUUCAUUAGAAAGUGGCAGAAUGCUGAAUCUGAGAAGAAGAUGGACAAAUGGAAGACACUGAAGGAUAACAUCAGGAAAGAGGAUGAAGGAAACUGACAGCAAGCAGGUGGAGAAGUAGAAGUCCUUCCAAGUGCAUCAGCUUCCAGCAUACUUUUUCAGGGCACAAAGUGGAAGUAAAAAAUGAACAAUGGGGAGAUGAACCACAUUGUCGAAGAACUCCAGGAUCUCGACAUCCAGAUCUAGAAACUCCUGUCCAGAUGGAUGCACCUGAGGGAUUUGAAGGCUCGUCUACUGGAAAAAUCCUCCCUGACAUCAGAAAUGGUCAUAGCAAAUCGCAGUUCGGUAACAUCGACUCCACGCUGUGCUGCUCACUUUCAAGGCCAAGUGAGCUUCACCCCUGUGCCUUGUCGUCGAAGAAAUCUGCCUGUUUCAGCUAGUGCAGGUGGGGACUUAAGUCUAGAAAACCUCCAUUGGCACAGGCAAGGAACUCCACCCAUAACCAGUUCGACCCUCUCCGCGUCCCCGGUUUGCCUUCAACCCUGGGUGAUGUAUUUUGUGAUUGGUAAUUCAAUCGUAUGAAACCUAAACAUUGCAUGCCCUAAUCAGAAAUCUUUUGGAUUGUGUUUUUUGUUCGUGUCUGAGAUGUUAUGAGACGUGCGCCGACAGUCUUCGAGAGGCACAAGAACAGGACAGUGAGAUCUAUUGUGAUACAUGCCGCAGUUAACGAUGUGAGACACCGAAAGUUGGAGAUUGUCAAGGUGGACUUUGCAGAACUAAUUAAAGCCAUGAAGAAGAGGACCCCGGCUGCAAGAAUUUUUAUCUUGGGUCCCUUACCUCUUGUUAGAAGAUCGAACGAGUAUUACAGUUGUCUGCUGGUGUUAAACAUCUGGCUGAAAGGCUUCAUGCGACAGUCAAAACAUCGGGUUCGCAGACAACUGGGACCUCUUCUGGGAGAGGCCAUGUUUCUUCAAGCGGAAUGGUCUGCAUCCAAAUAGUUUCGCCGCCCAGGUCCUCUCCGAAUACAUCGCUAAGGUAAAAGAGACAGACAUUUUGAGGUAAGGUUGUUCUUUCUAUAAAUCAUACCACCAGAACAGAGACGUGUUGCAGGUUGACUAGAACACGCAAGUAAGAAUUUCAUUGUAUUCUGCACGUGUGACAAUAAUGAUUUUAUUAACCUUGUCACAUGUGUCUGCAUAGGGGACAGCUUUAAGCUCUAGUGAUGAUAAUCCACCUCUGCUCCAGGGGUUUGUGCUGUGUGGUAAUACCUUCCCUCUGCAGACUGGAAGACUGACGGCUAUACCACCACGGAUGUCACUUGUAGUGUCCAGCCACCUGGGCUUGCCUUUUCCAGCUAGAAGGACUUAAAUCUGGAAGAUCUGGCAUCUUGUGUCAUUUCUGUUUCUGUAAGAGCUUGAUUCUGUGAAGAUGUCUCUACAGUUGUUGCAUUCAAUUGUAUGGGGCUACCAGGAUGAUACCCCAAAUUUUUAUCUUUAUGUUGUCUUCCUCUUACAACCUAUAAUGUGUUGCCUGUUAUUCCAGAUCACAAAACUGAUUAAAUGUUUUAUCUUCAACAUCUGUUUAGCUUUGUAAAGUGACUCAUGUUAAGCAAUCACACAAGCAUAAUAUGACAACAUUAGAAAAAGUCAGAUGAGGACAAGCCAUUCAGCUCAAUAAAGCUGUCAAAUCCUAUCCACCUAAUUUCUCCACAGUACAAUCAUAUCAAGUUUUGAAGAUCCGUAAUGUUCUACCCUCUAUUAUAUUAUUUGAUCAUUUAUUCUAUGUGUCCAUGGUUCUCUGCAUGAAUAAAACUUUCCAACAUUUGUGUAAAAUUUACCCUUAACAAGUUUCCAGCUAUGUCCCAUGUUGUAGUUUAACUUAUUUUAAAGUAACAGCCUAUAUCCAAUGUACUAAUUUCUUACAUUAUUUAAAAAUUCUAAUUGUGUCACCUCUUACCCUCUCUUCACUUAUACUGAAAAGCUUCUGUUUUUGCAUUUAACUCAUAUCUCAGAAUCAGCCUAGUUCCUCUUCUCUGGACCUUUUUUAGAGCUGCUAUGUCCUUUUUGUAACCUGGAGACCUAAACUGCACACAGUACUCCAAAUAAGGCCUCACCAUUGCAUUAUAAAGGUUGUGCAUAAACUCAUUGAACUUGCACACUAUAUAAUCUAAUAUUCUGUUAAUCCUCUUAAUGCACUGUGACUAUUAGAUUAACUACUGUGCCACCAUACCUCCCACAUCUAAUAUAAAAAACACUUUUGGGUCAGAAGCAGGCUAAGGAAUCCUGUCAGUAAAGAUUCAAAAGUAAAUUAAAAUCUCCUACUGCUUGAUUUUUUUUCUUCUUAGUCUUUCCUAUCUGUAUUAUUCAUAUUUUUCACGUAGUCCUCUAAACUUUAGAGUGGAGUAUGCAUGUUUAUGGGAUUUUCAGUUGUAUACACAUUUAUGCAAAUGCAGGAAUACUUUUUAAGAGAAUGUUCUAACAAAACUAUUAGCUUUUAAAAGACUGGCAAUGUGGGAACAAACCUUUGCAUAUCUUCUUGUACUUUAAAGGGGUAGCAAAUUGGAGCUGUACCCAGCAUUACUGUCCAUUCAACCAUCUGUGUUGAUUGGGUUUUCGUCCAAUCCUUUCCAUUUCCCAAAUACAUGCAUAUUAGUAUAAAUGAUGAUGCUUUGAUAAACUAACUUCCCAUUCAGACUUGAUGCCUGCCUUGUACCCAAUGGUGCCAGGUAAGUUCUGGUUCCUCACCAACCUGUAAUACAAGAAGCAGGGCCAGAAGAUGAGUUAAUACAGUAGAUGUUACCUUUACUAAACUAAAAAUGACAACAAUUUUUUUUUCAUGCUAUUUGAGUUAGGAAUAAAACAAUAAUCUCAGAAAAAGUGGAAAAUUAAAUUUGUGCAUACACAAGGAAGAGGUACAACCUUUAUUCACACAAAGCAGCCAUGCACUCCCUAUACCCCAACAGAAUGCAAGAGAAAGACAUUCAGGAAUCUAUGAUGAGCAGAAAUAUUGACGCAGUUUGGCUGAGUGGGUGACAUUUGUCGUCUCUGCCGUUCUGCAUGUCAACGGCUUAAAGGCAGAAUGAAGGCCGUAAUUCUUUCAAUCCAAGGUCAUUUAGGCAGUAAGCAGUGAAGCAGGCUGUAAGCAGGGUACUUGGCCGCUCCGCUCCAUUCAGCUGCACAUCCAGCCCACUCUCUUUUCCUUUUGUUUGCUUCAGUGGUGUCACUGAGUUCUUGCCAGCUAUGGCUAGCUGUCACUUUUGAAUCUUAAUGGCAGAGGGCCACCGAAAAAUAAAGGACAAUGUUAAUCCGCUCUGCUAACUUUCUGACAGCCCUAUGUGACAAAAAAUUGGGGGCUGGCUUGCUGAUGCAUUACUCUUUUCACUGUCUUUCACGGUAGCUUUUGAAGGCUUGGGUGACCUGCAAAACGAGGUGCACAGUGUAAGGUGGCUGCUCAGGUACAGUGUCCUUGUCAUUUUAUCCAAGAGCAUCAAUGUACAGUAUCUCAAAGGAUAUUUCUUAAAUUUAUACUGCAAUCAAUGGGAUGUGUUAGGUCUUUUUGUUAUUGGUAGGUGGUAGUAACAUUUGUUUUUGUAUUAACUAUUUAAGCAAUUUUGGAACUUACUCAGCCAUAGAGUCCAUCACUUUUUUGCAUUUUUUGCUUGUGGAUUAUUGUUUGAUUCAUAGUUUUAACUGCAGUAUUUAAAUGAACCUGACCAAGUCUUCUUCAAUACCUCAGUUACUGCUUUUAUCUGACUAGUUCCUAUGGUUUAACCUAGGGGUAGGCAAAGUUGUUCCUGGGGGGGCCGCAGUGGCUGCAGGUUUUUGUUCCAACCCAAUCGCUUAA